UGGUGGAUCACUGGUUGAUAGCCCAUCACAGGACAAAUACUCCUCAUCAACUGAGAUCUGCAUGAGUAAUAGAAGAGACAAGAUGCAGAUUGUUGAAAGUGAAGAGAGCCGUAUGAAGAUGAUGGAGGCAGCACUUGAAGAAGAGAGAGCUGCCUAUGCUGCUCUUUGUUUAGAGCUAGAGAAAGAGAGGUCUGCUGCUGCAACUGCUGCUGAUGAAGCAAUGGCAAUGAUAUCUCGUCUGCAGGAAGAGAAGGCCUUCAUAGAAAUUGAAACUAGGCAAUACCAGAGGAUGAUAGAGGAAAAAGUUGCUUAUGAGGAAGAAGAGAUGAAUAUUCUGCAAGAAAUUCUUAUAAGAAGGGAAGAGAGAAUCAUUUUCUUGAAAAGGAACUUGAGGGUUAUAGACAGAUGAACUUAAGAGUAAGUGAGCAAUCAAAUGGAAAGUCAAAUUUGCAGCUAGAUGAAUUGGGACAAAGGCCGUCAUUUUCAGCGGAAACACAUGAAGAUCACCUGCAGACUAACAGUUCCAUUUCAAUGGCCAAGAUUGCUGAAAUAGCACAUCUUCAAUCAAAUCAUAGAGUGGAUCAAACUUGUAUCAGAUUAAAUGAUGGAGAAGAGCUAAAGAAAACAGACAACUCAAGGAUCAAUAUCAUGGCAAUCUGCCCAGUUCUUUCCUUGAUACUGAGCCAGAUGUUCUUGAUGUACAUGUCAUAGAUGACAACAUAGAACUUAAGAAAGAGGAAGUUGAAAAGACAAAUGGCUUUUCAUUCAAUGCUGUUUCAGAUGAACCCAGAGAUGAUGAUCUCACUUCAGGAAGUCUCAAAGUUCUGAACAGUAUUGCAGUGAGUAAAUUUUCAAGGGUAAGCAAGGCAGAAAGCGGUGAUGGUGCUGAUGCCAAUGCUAAUGAGAAGUUAAGGAUUGGCACUGAGCUUGAGAUUCUUGGAGAAAGGCUGAGGAUGCUAAAGCAUGGAAAGGAUAAAUUGACUUUCUUUUCAGAGAAUGAAGAAAGUAAAAGGAUCCAGCUGAAGCUUCUGGAGGAGAUAGCAAACCAUCUUCAAGAGAUAAAACAGCUGAGAAACCCUGUCCGUGGGUCUUCCUUGCCCCCCUCAUCUGCUAAGGUGAGUUUGAAGAAAAGACGCAGCCAAAGUGCUACUUGGAAGACCUCUGAAAGCUCCUAAAUCUUGUACUAUAAAGUGUAUAAUAAGUGUAUGAAAGCCAUCUUAGUUUACAUAUAAUUUACCAGAACUUCUUUUUGCUCCUUGUUCGUUUUAGAAUGUAAAUAUCCUUAGUAGUUCCCUGAGUGGUCAAAACAUUUUUGUAUUGGAGAAAAUUCAGUUGCAGCUUUUUUAA